UACGGAGGGGACUAGCGUUGUUCGGAAUUACUGGGCGUAAAGCGCACGUAGGCGGAUUUGUAAGUCAGGGGUGAAAUCCCGGGGCUCAACCUCGGAACUGCCUUUGAUACUGCAAAUCUCGAGUCCGGAAGAGGUGAGUGGAAUUCCUAGUGUAGAGGUGAAAUUCGUAGAUAUUAGGAAGAACACCAGUGGCGAAGGCGGCUCACGUGGUCCGGUACUGACGGCUGAGGUGCGAAAGCGUGGGGAGCAA
rnacentral:rRNA from 1 species